AAACAAUGCUUCCUCACGCACGCAUAAUUAAGACUUUUUUUUCCUUUUGUAAUGUGUGAAAUCUGGAUAUCUCAAUGCCGUCAUCAUACGGAGUUAACAAGAGAUCAACAAAUAUACUUCAAAUAUACAAAUAACUUCUUCAUCUAUCACAAAGACAG